rnacentral:rRNA from 1 species
UACGGGGGGAGCAAGCGUUGUUCGGAUUUACUGGGCGUAAAGGGCGCGUAGGCGGCCACCGCAAGUCGACUGUGAAAUCUCCGGGCUUAACCCGGAAAGGUCAGCCGAUACUGCGGGGCUAGAGUGCGGAAGGGGCAACUGGAAUUCUCGGUGUAGCGGUGAAAUGCGUAGAUAUCGAGAGGAACACCUGCGGCGAAGGCGGGUUGCUGGGCUGACACUGACGCUGAUGCGCGAAAGCUAGGGGAGCGAACGGG